rnacentral:tRNA from 1 species
GCCGGGGUGGAGUAACGGCAGCCUCGUGGCGCUCAAAACGCCAUGCCCGUAAGGGCGUGCGGGUUCGAAUCCCGCCCCCGGUACCA